GAUGAACGCUGGCGGCGUGCCUAAUACAUGCAAGUCGAGCGAACAGACGAGGAGCUUGCUCCUCUGACGUUAGCGGCGGACGGGUGAGUAACACGUGGAUAACCUACCUAUAAGACUGGGAUAACUUCGGGAAACCGGAGCUAAUACCGGAUAAUAUAUUGAACCGCAUGGUUCAAUAGUGAAAGACGGUUUUGCUGUCACUUAUAGAUGGAUCCGCGCCGCAUUAGCUAGUUGGUAAGGUAACGGCUUACCAAGGCGACGAUGCGUAGCCGACCUGAGAGGGUGAUCGGCCACACUGGAACUGAGACACGGUCCAGACUCCUACGGGAGGCAGCAGUAGGGAAUCUUCCGCAAUGGGCGAAAGCCUGACGGAGCAACGCCGCGUGAGUGAUGAAGGUCUUCGGAUCGUAAAACUCUGUUAUUAGGGAAGAACAAGUGUGUAAGUAACUAUGCACGUCUUGACGGUACCUAAUCAGAAAGCCACGGCUAACUACGU
rnacentral:rRNA from 1 species